GGGGUUGUGGCUCAGGGGUAGAGCGCUCGCCUAGCAUGUGCGAGGCCCUGGGUUCAAUCCUCAGCACCACA
rnacentral:tRNA from 1 species